UGGGGAAUAUUGCACAAUGGGGGAAACCCUGAUGCAGCGACGCCGCGUGAAGGAAGAAGUAUUUCGGUACGUAAACUUCUAUCAGCAGGGAAGAAAGUGACGGUACCUGACUAAGAAGCCCCGGCUAACUACGUGCCAGCAGCCGCGGUAAUACGUAGGGGGCAGGCGUUAUCCGGAUUUACUGGGUGUAAAGGGAGCGUAGACGGCAAGGCAAGUCUGAUGUGAAAGGCGGGGGCUCAACUCCUGGACUGCAUUGGAAACUGUCAAGCUAGAGUGUCGGAGGGGUAAGCGGAAUUCCUGGUGUAGCGGUGAAAUGCGCAGAUAUCAGGAGGAACACCGGUGGCGAAGGCGGCUUACUGGACGGCAACUGACGUUGAGGCUCGAAAGCGUGGGGAGCAAACAGG
rnacentral:rRNA from 1 species